AAUGAACGUUGGCGGCGUGGAUUAGGCAUGCAAGUCGAGCGAGAAAGGUUUUGAAGCUUGCUUUAGAACCUGGACAGCGGCGAAAGGGAGAGUAACGCGUAGUUACCUGCCCCAGGGUCCGGAAUAGCCACGGGAAACUGUGGGUAAUGCCGGAUAAUAUCCCCGGAUCAAAGGUGUGAUUCCGCCCUGGGAGGGGACUGCGUCCUACUAGCUAGUUGGGGGGGUAAUGGCCCACCAAGGCAACGAUGGGUAGCGGGUGUGAGAGCAUGACCCGUCUCACUGGGACUGAGACACUGCCCAGACACCUACGGGUGGCUGCAGUCGAGAAUCUUCGGCAAUGAGCGCAAGCUUGACCGAGCGAUGCCGCGUGCGGGAUGAAGGCCCUCGGGUUGUAAACCGCUGUCGUAGGGGAGGAAAUCUGACGAGGGUUCUCCCUCGUAGUUGACCUAUCCUAGGAGGAAGUACGGGCUAAGUACGUGCCAGCAGCCGCAGUAACAC
rnacentral:rRNA from 1 species